GGAGUUAGCCGGUGCUUCUUCUGCGAGUAACGUCACAGAUGUAAGGUAUUAACUUACACCCUUUCCUCCUCGCUGAAAGUGCUUUACAACCCGAAGGCCUUCUUCACACACGCGGCAUGGCUGCAUCAGGGUUUCCCCCAUUGUGCAAUAUUCCCCACUGCUGCCUCCCGUAGGAGUCUGGGCCGUGUCUCAGUCCCAGUGUGGCUGAUCAUCCUCUCAGACCAGCUAGAGAUCGUCGCCUAGGUGAGCCUUUACCUCACCUACUAGCUAAUCCCACCUGGGCUUAUCCAUCAGCGCAAGGCCCGAAGGUCCCCUGCUUUCCCCCGUAGGGCGUAUGCGGUAUUAGCAGUCGUUUCCAACUGUUAUCCCCCACAAAUGGGCAAAUUCCCAGGCAUUACUCACCCGUCCGCCGCUCGUCAUCUUCAAAAGCAAGCUUUUGAAAUGUUACCGCUCGACUUGCAUGUGUUAGGCCUGCCGCCAGCGUUCAAUCUGAGCCAGGAUCAAACUCUGA
rnacentral:rRNA from 1 species